CAGCCGCCGCGGGAAUACGUAGGUGGCAAGCGUUGUCCGGAAUUAUUGGGCGUAAAGGGCUCGCAGGCGGUUUCUUAAGUCUGAUGUGAAAGCCCCCGGCUCAACCGGGGAGGGUCAUUGGAAACUGGGAAACUUGAGUGCAGAAGAGGAGAGUGGAAUUCCACGUGUAGCGGUGAAAUGCGUAGAGAUGUGGAGGAACACCAGUGGCGAAGGCAGCUUCUUGGUCCAUUCCUGACGUUCAUACACGAAAGCGUGGGGAGCAAACAGGAUUAGAUACCCCCGUAGUCCCUGUCUCUUAUAC
rnacentral:rRNA from 1 species